rnacentral:rRNA from 1 species
AUGGGCGCGUCGGGGAAGUGGAUCAAGACGCUGGUCGGGCUCAAGCCGGCGGCGGCGGAGAAGGAGAGGCACGCCGGUGGGAAGGGCCGGAAGUGGAGCCGCCUGUGGCGGAGUUCGUCGGGCGGGCAGAGGGCCGCCGCGUCGGCGGCCGCCUCGGAGGUCUCCGAGACGUCCUCCGCCGCCGCCGACGCGCUCAGCUCCGUCGUCGCGGCCGUCGUGCGCGCGCCGCCCAAGGACUUCCGCGUCAUCAGGCAGGAGUGGGCGGCCGUCCGCAUCCAGACCGCCUUCCGCGGCUUCCUGGCCAGGAGGGCGCUGAGGGCGCUGCGGGGGAUCGUGCGGCUGCAGGCGCUGGUGCGCGGCCGCCGCGUGCGCAAGCAGCUGGCCGUCACGGUCAAGUGCAUGCAGGCGCUCGUCAGGGUGCAGGCGCGGGCGAGAGACCGGCGCACGCGGCUCUCGGCUGACGGCCGAGACUCGCAGGAUACGCUCGACGACCACAGCAGCCACGCGGAUCCCGUCAAGGAAGCAGAGACAGGAUGGUGUGAUAGCCAAGGAACUGUGGAUGAUGUCAGAUCAAAGAUACACAUGAGACGCGAGGGCGCAAUCAAGAGAGAAAGGGCAAUUGCGUAUGCUCUUUCUCACCAGGUACAUCCUGCUCGAAUAGUCUGGGCAUAUAAACAGCGGAACUCAAACCACAAUGGAAGACCUAGCUCUCCUGCUGUUUCUCUUAAGAAUCAUGGGACUAACAGGAGCAAUCAGUGGAGCUAUUUGGACGGGUGGAUGGCAACAAAACCUUGGGAGAGUCGCCUUAUGGAGCAAUCACACAGCGAACAGACCAACUCACGUUGUUCAGAGAGUAUCGACGAAAUGAACGAGGUCAGCUCAAAGCUUUCUGAAGCAAGCUCAGUCAAGAUCAGAAGAAACAAUGUCACAACUAGGGUGUCAGCAAAGCCUCCUUCGGUAAUCGCGGUAUGCGACGAGAGUGCUCCGUCAACAUCUUCAGUCACUCAGAUGACCGGUAACCAUUUCACGACAUCAGAAAGGAGAUCUGACUGUGGCCAGGGUGGUGCACCGAGCUAUAUGGGCUUGACCAAAUCAGCCAAGGCAAGGCUGAGUGGUUCUUCUAGCACUCACAAGCCACCACUUCAAAGACAAGGAUCUGCUGACAAACACAAUUACAGCAGGGGGGCAUUCUCUUCAAUAGAUGUUCAAAGCACCGCCGGCUCCGAGGUUUCGGUGACCUCAAAGAGGUUGAACGGUUUAACUCUGAAGGGUCGAGGCACUAGAAGAAGCAUGGACAAGGAGAACGAUGAUCAGUCUAAUUCUUUCUUCUAG